rnacentral:misc_RNA from 1 species
UUUGUAGAGAAGAAUGGCUGCCAUCUUUAGUUUUCGAUGGAUGUUUUACGGAGAGAUCGCGAAUUUCUUGUAUUUAGCACGAUAAACAAUAACGCAAUAGUGUAUUAAUAAGUGAAUAAUAAUUAUUCGCGAUGUAAAUAACGAUUUAUAAAUAUUUUUAAUAGCUGCCUUGGUGCAAUUGAAUGUUUAAAAUGCGUGUGUUUACAUCAAUGUUUGAAGUCAGUCUCUGUAUUCCUGUCACAGUAAGUUCCUGGCCGAGUAUUCUCAAAUAGCUUAAACUCGGAGUCUGUGCAUCAUCGCCAAGCGAUUGGCUGCCGAAAGUAUAAAAAAAUAUACCAGUAAUAAUAAUAAUAAUAAUAAUAAUUAAAAAUAUUCAUACCGUCGUAUUUAAUUUUCGACGGUAGCCAUAAAAUUCAUCAAAACGUCGACUCCGUCGGUAAUAAAGUUAUCCGGUGGCGCAGCUGGGGCAAGUGGGUCCGUAGAGGAGCAGUCCCCGGGUCCCGGACCGUCACCGGAGAAUAGUAGUGUGGAGAAAGUUGCGUCUGGCGACAACAAUGGCACCACUGAAGCCACCAUGAGUUUUGUCCUGCAAUUGGGCUCUGGCGAGGCCCUCGAGGAGACCGCCUCGAGUGUCAGAGAAAUCGCUUCGGUUACAAUCCAAGAAAGAACAACCGAACCAAUGAGUAUUGUCCUGCAACUGGGUACAGCGACAGCAACAACACCAACAACAACAGCAGCUGUUAAUUCUAAAGAAUUAGACAAUCCUGAAAAAUCAACUAUGGUGGUCACCAAGCCGGCUAUAGUUUAUCCGAGUAAUCAGAUGAAAUUUCAACAAAAUGCUAGCAAGACUAAUGUAACAACUGUUACCAAUGUUGGAGGUGUUAUUGCUGCAGUUGCUAAACCUGGAACGAUUGUCUACCCAGCUAAAUCGAUGAAAGAUCAAAAAAUUAGUGUACCUGCUCAAACUUCUGUAGAUUCUAAAAUAAUUGCAGCACCUUUGAUUCUGACUCAGCAGCAGGUACCGUCCAGCACCACCGGGACGUUGAUUCCCUGCUCAGCAGGAAAUAAUACAACCUCAGUAAAUCAACUGACGUCCAAGCCGGUGAUUAACAGCACUGCUAACUCAAAUCUUCCCGGAAAAGUUCAACUCACGUAUGAAGUUGUGCCGAAUAAGCAGCAACAUCAGCAUUCAUCGGGGAUUAUUCAAAGUACAGCAUCACAGAAGGUAGUUAGUACAGCUGCGGGUGUUAAAACAAUCACCUCAACUAGUACUAUGUCUAACAUCCAGAGGUUACGGAAUAAAUCUCCAAGUGCUACUGCUCCCAAUAGCAAUGUUCAUAAAGUAAAAACUAUUACAAGCAUUAAUAAUCAAGGAAUGGUUACGAAAAAUUUUACAUCUCGAGUACAAGCUGUUUCUAAAGCCCAAACUCUGUCGACGAAUGUCGCUAUCACCCCGGUAACGAUGACGCAAGUUAUCACUAAUUCAAGUAUUCAACGAUUGCAGCAAAAUAAUCAGAAAAUUCAACAAAAUCAGUCGACUAAUCAAACUGUUAUAAAUUCACGAGUUAAUGCUAAUCAUAAAGUACCAGUUGAUCAAACUCAAGCGCUACAGAAGGUUGCUGGAGUCUUUCCAAAAACUUUAGCCGUUCAACGGCAACAAGUUGCUUCUACUGGGGCCAAUAACGUCCAGAAAGUUUCUAUUGCCGGAAUACAAAAAACAAGUUCAACACAAAAUCAGCCACAGAAUAAUGCUGUACACUUUCAGAAUUCUCAGCAGCAGCAGCCUAAAUCUCAAAUCACAUCAGUACAAAAAUCUCAAACAGCUUUGGUAUUAAAUAACUCACCGAAAAAUUCACAAUUUACAAAUGUUAGUAAUAUUGUUAAAAGUAGUAGUAUUCCAAAUGUCUCAAAAAUUCAGGCUAGUUCUGCUGUUGCGUUAAGUAAGGCUCAACUUAUAUCACAGUCUCAAGUUAAUGUACAUCACACGGUUCAUGUUCAACAAAUGAUUCCUCAGUCUAUUCAAGGACAAGCGGUUUCUAAGCAACAGCAGCAGUCGCUUACUUUACAGACAGCUCGGGUGUCAGCUAAUUCUAAUUCACAACCAAAAUUAAAUGUCAUUCAACAGAAUGCCACUCUCACAAGUAUUCCGAUAAAUCAAAAGAAUCCUUUGGUUGUCAAUGCUAAAGUACAAUCUCAACCGCAAAUGCUUCUCAAGGUUGGUCCUAUGAAAAAUUCUUCCAUUAAUUCACAACACACUGGCAAUAUGAUUAAAACUGUGGGUCAAAAAGGCAAUGCUGCGAGUCAGAUGAAAACAAAUCCUCAACAAGUUGGACUCUCGAUGAAUCGCACUGUCAAUGCUCAGCCGGUUAAAAUAAUUCAACAGCAUCAACAACAGCAAUCACCUCAGCAACAUAUUGUUGUUAAUCAAAUGACUUCCCAAAAGCAACCGGGUUGUAUAAAAACAAUGCCUGCGCAAAAAGUUACACAUCAGCAGCAGCAUCAACAACAACAGCAACAUCAGCAGCAGCAUCAUCAGCAGCAGCAUCAUCAGCAACAGCGUAAUAAUACCCAAAAAGUUGGUGGGAUAAAAACUUCUCUGAAUACUAAUAUGAACUCAUUAAAAACUCAAACGGCUAACAAUUCUCCAGUCCCUGUUGGGAAUCAACUCUCACAAAAAACAAAUCUACGUAAUUUUCCUCCUCAGCAAUUGAAUACUUCUAAUAUAAUGAUACAAAAAAAUCAAACUAUGAAAAUUCAACAGCAAAAUAUUCAGCAAAAACAAAUAAUAAUGUCACCACAGUACCCCCAGUCACAAAAUAUAAGGCCACAAGGUGGACAAAUUAAAACUAUUUUACCAAUAGUUUCACCGGAUACUCAUAAAGAGAUGGAAACAAAAAUGGGACAAGAAAUGCAACUGAAAAAGGAACCAGAAUCUCAAGAACAGCCGACCUCACCUGUACGACGAAUGCCGCUACCUUAUGAGUGUCUGCAGUUCGUCCUUCAAGACCAUAACUACGGAGCUCCACCACCGCGAACGCCACCACCAGCGUCGCCACCACCACAUCCACAACAGCAACCACUAAAUGGUGCAAGUGGUUCAACUCUUCAACAUUCAUUUAUGUACAAUCAGGUAAUUACAAACAAUAUCACAGCAGAUGACGCAGCGAGUGCUAUCAGUAGUGACGGAGGUCGUGAAGUAGAGCCCGAAGGUGAAGAAACCGAAACAGCUCCAGAAGGAGAAGGUGACGACGAGGACAGUGUUACGCGAUGUAUAUGUGAUUUUGAGCAUGACGAUGGUUAUAUGAUUUGCUGUGAUCGCUGCCUCGUUUGGCAGCACGUUGAUUGUAUGGGUAUCGACAGAUCAAACAUUCCUGACGAGUAUCUCUGUGAAAUUUGCCGACCACGUCGUGUGGACCGUCAACGAGCACGUACGCUUCAAUUACGAAAGCGCGAGGAGCUUCUCAACUCUGAUACAUCGUCGGACACAUCAUCGACUAGCUCUGCGGACACUGAUGUCGGUAGCAAUAAUCCACCGGCUAAGAAACGACAGCUCCAACAGCUCUCAGUUCCGAGGAGAAAAUCCGAUCCUCCUCCUUCGACACUCAGGAAGUUGAAUAACAACAAUAAUAACAACAACAACAAUAGUAAUAGCAAUAAUAACAAUAACAACAACAACAAUAAUGUCGCUAAGCGUCAAAGACGAGAGCAGCUUCCAAGACAAGCAAGUGCGGGGAGAAAGAAGGAAACUGCAAAACGCGGUCCGGGAAAAAGAAAAACAAAGCGUAGAAUUAGUUUAGAUGGUGAAGAUGAAACUCAAGAUGCUUGGGGAUCUAACAUGGCUCCACUGAGGCAGUGGAUUGAGAGAUAUGAAGAGGCUGUGACAAAUCACUAUAGUCCUGAGCUUAGAGCCAGAAUAUCUAGCAUUAAAGUAAAUGGUACCCAUGGUGAUUUAAAACAGAGUAAUAUGAGCUCUGGCGUUAGCGGUAAGUGUCGGAUUAAUGUACAAAGCAACAGUCUAAGAUUUUUAGUAGCUACUGUAUACCUUCCACCUAAUACACCAAUUAUUGAGUUAAGAGGUAAAUAUAUGUUGAGCACGCAACACAGGUCGUCUUAUCCCCAAGGACGGCAGCAUGCGCAACGACCAGGACCUUUUGUAUUUUUCUAUCGCUUACCACGUGAGGGGACCGAAGUUUGUGUUGACACAAGAACGUACGGUAACGAUGCUAGAUUUGUACGGCGGAGUUGUAAACCUAAUGCUGAGAUAAAACAUUGUAUAGAAAAAGGUACGUUACACUUGUAUAUUGUUACGAUAGCGGCUAUUGAAAAAAGUAACGAAAUAACGAUUCGUCAUGAGCAACACGAUCUACUGCUUUCUCCUAAUACUAAUUUAACCGGCAGUACGCCUCUUCCAUGUGCUUGUGGUAAUCCACGUACUUGUCAAAUCACUGCGACUACCGGACAACUCGGUAGUUCACGGCGAAGUAGUAAUGGUACUCUUGCGGAGAAUGUUGAUGGUCGUGAACGAAGAAGACGAGGUAGAAGAAAUACUGUUAGUGAGGAAAAUGACGUGUCUAGUUUAACAACUUCUUCAACACCGCCAGUUACAAGCCAGUUGACACCAAACCGAACACCAACUCCUACGUCUUCAACAUCUACAACUCCAACAGUCUCAGCUGGUGCUAAGAAAAUGAUAACAAACACUGUAGCACCUGUUCCAACGUCAACUGUCACUACAACAACUGCACCAGCAGCUGUAUCAACAGCCGCUGUGGUAACUGCGACGACAACGAUGACUACUACUACGUCAGUGAUAGUUACUACAACGUCAUCUUCAACAACUACAGCAACUGCAACAGCGGUAGCUGUUUCUACGAUAACAACGACGACAACUACCAGCACGUCGACAGUCGUAACUGCUGCAGUGACUAAAGUAUUACCUAAGGAAGAGGCUCCUGUUUUAGCAUCACAGCCACCGACGCAACAAGUGGUUCAUUCGACACCACCAACCGCUCCGACGUCACAAGAAACUAGCAAAAAAGAUAAAAAGAAAAUGACCCGGGAGGAGCGUAAAAUGGAAGCUAUUAUGAAAGCCUUUGAGAGACUAGAAAAAGCCGAACAAAGAAAGCAAGAAGUCCAAGCAAGAAACGCUCAGAGAAAAGAGUCCGGAGGCGCCCACAGUGAUAACGAUGAUUUGCCUCUCAGCCUUCCCACCAGGCCAAAGCAACAGCACAUUGAACGACCGCUCAGACGAAAAAGACGAAAGGGUCGGGCAAGAACAACAAGUAGUUCACAGUCUCAAAAUAGUCGGCGAACUAGAUUAAAUUCAGCCGACUCAGACAUGUCGUCUGGUGAUGAAAGUAUCAUGAUGCAAUCACCACCCUCCUCAUGUAUACCUAAUCGCGAGGCUCCUUUUUCUCCGCGGCUUCACACUCCAACAAAGGAGGAAAAUUACGUGGGAAUAGCUCGGGAGUCUAAUAAUCAAACAAUACCAACAGCAGCGGGUCUUUUAUUAGCUCUUGCUAAUUCAAACAUACCCGGUCCAAGCUCACCGCCGCUCCAGCAACCACCACCAAGUAAAAGUCCCACUUGCGACAGUGGAGCGAGUAGCAGCUCUCAAAGUUCAACUCCCUCGACGCCGUUGUCAUCGGCUUGUCUUUUAGUUGCAGCUGCGGUUGGACCUCUCGCUCCGGGAUUCAAGUUUCCCAAAACCAAAAAGGCAAUGAUGAAUGAGUGGCUGAGAGAUUCUCCGGAUACACCGCAAGCUCACGUGCAAAUACCACCUCAUAUAUCACCAAACAUGUCAAUUACGUCUGUACCAUCGCCAAGUCCAGUAAUUCCUUCGACAAAUAGGUCCAUUGAUUUUCUUUCACCUACUGACCCCUCGCCUGAGUUUUUGACUCAAAGUUAUGCGGCUAAAAGUCUGGCGACUCUUGUUCAAGCCGCUAACUCUGUUUCGGGAAUUUGUGAUUCUCCGCCACAACGUAAACAAGCUGUUCAGAAUGCCAACGGCUGUCCAGUGUCAUCAGGAUCAGCUAAGAAACGUUGGCUACGACAAGCCAUCUCUGAAGAAUGCGACUCGCCCAACAGCAGACCUGAAAGUCCGCCCAGUGAAAUGGUAGCGCCGCCAAAAAAACGGCGAAUCGCUCGUGAAAGUAUUUCAUCGGACAAUUAUACUCCGCCGACUACGCCAACACCCGUACACACUGAAGCCGGUCCUACUAACUCUGCGCUUAUUUUGUCUGAAAAUGAUUUUUGCGAACAACCACACUCGCCGCUGUCCAUGGAGGGAAGGAUUAAAACUGAUUAUGAAGCUGAUACUUUGAAAGAAGAUACCAAUUCAGAGUCAGAGAAACCGGAAUUCUUUCAGGCUAUUAAAACUAAACCCGAAUUAUCUGACUCGGAAAUAAAAGAUCACAGAGAGAGUGAUAAAAUAGAUGUUGUGGUAAAAGACGAGGUCGAUUUAAUAAAAACUGAGGUUAAAAUAAAUGUCAAAGACGAGCUUAUGGAGACAGAUGAGGAUAAUCAUGACAUACUUACGUCUGUUAAUUUAACUAAAGUCAAAGUAAAGCCUGAUAUUAAACCUCAAGAAUCUUUAGACGUCACUAAGCUUCCCAGCGUUCCAGAGUAUCCGAUCAAACAAGAGUCGUCAAGUUCACCAUUGCAAGAUGAAAAAUCUCCUAUGGAAAUUGGUAACCAAAGUGACCUAGAAAACGAUGAACCAAAGUCACCGGUUAUUGCAAUGGAGUCUGAUGUUGAGGUCAAACAAAGUUCAGAGAUGACAUUGACGUACAGUCAAACAGCGACUGUUGAUCAGACUUUUGAAAGUUUAGAAAAAGACUGUAAGUCUAACGAUGCUUCUUCUAUUGAUGAGUUUGACGUUGAAGCGCAGAUGAAGAUGAUAACCGGUGAUGAUGGUAAUGAUUACAAGGAAAAGGUUGACACUUGCUCGGAUAAAGAUUACAAAAGCAUGGAUGGUAUCGAGGGGUUAAUGGACAGCUCCAAAGAAGACUCUGACUCGGAAGACCGUGAUAUUGGAGAUCUGCAGCCCAAGGAAGAACCGCGACGAUUUAAAGAGCUGGAACGAGCUGUGGAGGAAAGAGCUUUCAAGGAACUUGAGACAAUGUCUCAUAAUCAACAGUUUAAAGCUAGUAGUCAAGUAUUUGUUGCUGAAAAUUCAGACACUUUGUUGAAAUCUCCGGAGACUACUAAGUUAGAGUCAACGACGACGACAACAACGUCUGAGGAGUCAAUGUUUGAUUCUGUGUCUUCGAACAUCGAUUGCGAGGCUGCUGUGGUUGAACCGCCUAAAAUAUUUCAGUCAAUCCCGCCAUUGAGUGAAAGAAUCCGUAAAAAACCCGAUUCUUCCGCAGCUCCGAAGAAAAGUCUUGUUUUUGAAGCCGCGAUGAUUGAAUCGACAAUCGACAUGGAGUCUGUGGAAAUAGCAGAGAAUGGCGAGGAUAAAAAUCAACUCUCGACUGCUUUGAGAGAAAUUUUAAGAUCUAAAAUUGAUGAAGAGCCGACUCCGUUUAUGAAUGCUGAAAAUACAGAUCCACCUUUAGAGAAUAUUAAUCCGUCACCAGAAGAUAUAAAUCCACCAUUAGAAAGUAUUAACCCGUCUCCGGAAGACUUGGAGCCACCAAUUAAUUCAAUAUCGAAGGACAUUUAUUCAUCACCUAAAGAAACAUCACAUUCUUCACCAAAUAAAGCAAAUUUUUCUCCAGUGAAUGUUAAUUUAUCAACCAAGGAGAUUAAAUUAUCUCCUAAAAAUAUUAGUGAAAAUACUAAUUCGUCGGAAAGUAUAAAUCCGUUGGUGGACGAUGCUAGCACGCCUUUGGAUAAUUUAUAUCCAGCAUUAGAAAAAAUGAGCCCGCCGUCUGAAAAUUUCAAUUCGUUGUUGGAAAAUACAAGUCCACCUGUGUUGAAUCAUAUUGAAGCUAUAGUGACGGAACCAAGUGUCCCAGAGAAUUUACCAACUGUCCCAGCUAAAGAAGAAAUAGUUCCUGCUAAAGUUGAAGAAAAAGUCCUGCCACCACCGCCGCCUCAGCCUGAAGUAAGGAGGCUAAAAGAUCCGAGGACAGCAGUGCCCAAUCGAUGUCCAUCUCCAAAACACGAUACACCGGCACCAGUCAAGCGUAAGGUUAGAACGUUAUCAAUCUCCGAGUAUCGAAAACGGAAACAACAGUACACGGAGACACCACCAGAACCUGAACCGUCAAGUGACAUAGCUUCAUCAUCAGACAAAAGUCCACGCGGUCGAUCAGACAGCGCAAGCAGCGGAACAUCUUCUCUGAGCUCCGAUGAUGAUAAUGCUAAGACGAGUCAUGAUAUUCCGAGUUUGACGUCUCUUCCGUUGUUUGCUAACUCGGAAAAUGACGAACGUAAAGUUAAAUUACAGGCAAUGAAGAAGGUGUCAUUGGAUGGUCAGCAGCACCUACGCUUGUCGAAAGACAGCGAGAAAAUCUUACGGAAAGAUUGAAACGCGAAUUUGGACUUUUUUUGAGCGAUGAUGAAGAAGAAAGGGCUAGAAAACAAGGAUUAACUGCAGAGGCUAUUUUAAAAGCACGUAAAGAAGCAAUGCCAAAUCAAAUUCCAAUGACUGUAGGACCGACGCCGUAUACUUCAUCGCAAUUACCCCCACAAACUUACAUACCACCACCAGGAUCGGCGGCCA